CAGAGGGUGCAAGCGUUGUUCGGAAUUAUUGGGCGUAAAGCGCGUGUAGGCGGCUUGGCAAGUCAGAUGUGAAAGCCCUCGGCUUAACCGAGGAAGUGCGUCUGAAACUGCUGAGCUUGAGUCUCGGAGAGGAUGGCGGAAUUCCGCAAGUAGAGGUGAAAUUCGUAGAUAUGCGGAGGAACACCGGUGGCGAAGGCGGCCAUCUGGACGAGUACUGACGCUGAGACGCGAAAGCGUGGGGAGCAAACAGGAUUAGAUACCCUGGUAGUCCACGCUGUAAACGAUGAGAACUAGGUGUCGUGGGUGUUGACCCCCGCGGUGCCGCAGCUAACGCAUUAAGUUCUCCGCCUGGGAAGUACGGCCGCAAGGCUA
rnacentral:rRNA from 1 species